rnacentral:rRNA from 1 species
UACGUAGGGUGCGAGCGUUAAUCGGAGUUACUGGGCGUAAAGCGCGCGCAGGCGGCGGUGUUGGCCCGGCGUGAAAGCCCCCGGCUCAACCGGGGAGAGUCGUCGGGGACCGCACCGCUUGAGGGCGGUAGGGGCUGGUGGAAUGCCUGGUGUAGUGGUGAAAUGCGUAGAGAUCAGGCAGAACACCUGGGGCGAAGGCGGCCAGCUGGGCCGUCCCUGACGCUGAGGCGCGAAGGCGUGGGGAGCGAACGGG